GACAGAGGUGCCGAGCGUUAGGCGGAAUCACUGGGCUUAAAGCGUGUGUAGGCGGAUUCCUAAGUACCUUGUGAAAUCCCACGGCUUAACCGUGGAACUGCUUGGUAUACUGGGUGUCUUGAGCCAACUAGGGGCGACCGGAACAAACGGUGGAGCGGUGAAAUGCGUAGAGAUCGGAAAGAACACCAACGGCGAAAGCACUCUGCUGGGCCGACACUGACACUGAGAGACGAAAGCUAGGGGAGCGAAUGGG
rnacentral:rRNA from 1 species